rnacentral:rRNA from 1 species
CACGCUGUAAACGAUGGAUACUAGGUGUAGGGGCCACAAGGUCUCUGUGCCGGAGCAAACGCACUAAGUAUCCCGCCUGGGGAGUACGGCCGCAAGGCUGAAACUCAAAGGAAUUGACGGGGGCCCGCACAAGCAGCGGAGCAUGUGGUUUAAUUCGAAGCAACGCGAAGAACCUUACCAAGGCUUGACAUCCUCUGACGUACGUAGAAAUACGUAUUCCCUUCGGGGCAGAGAGACAGGUGG